UGGGGAAUAUUGCGCAAUGGGCGAAAGCCUGAUGCAGCAACGCCGCGUGAGUGAUGAAGGUCUUCGGAUUGUAAAGCUCUGUCUUUUGGGACGAUAAUGACGGUACCAAAGGAGGAAGCCACGGCUAACUACGUGCCAGCAGCCGCGGUAAUACGUAGGUGGCGAGCGUUGUCCGGAUUUACUGGGCGUAAAGGGUGCGUAGGCGGAUGUUUAAGUGAGAUGUGAAAUACCCGGGCUUAACUUGGGUGCUGCAUUUCAAACUGGAUAUCUAGAGUGCAGGAGAGGAGAAUGGAAUUCCUAGUGUAGCGGUGAAAUGCGUAGAGAUUAGGAAGAACACCAGUGGCGAAGGCGAUUCUCUGGACUGUAACUGACGCUGAGGCACGAAAGCGUGGGUAGCAAACAGGAUUAGAUACCCUGGUAGUCCACGCCGUAAACGAUGAGUACUAGGUGUAGGAGGUAUCGACCCCUUCUGUGCCGCAGUAAACACAUUAAGUACUCCGCCUGGGAAGUACGAUCGCAAGAUUAAAACUCUAAAGUGAA
rnacentral:rRNA from 1 species